rnacentral:rRNA from 1 species
AUUGAACGCUGGCGGCAUGCCUUACACAUGCAAGUCGAACGGUAACAGGUCUUCGGAUGCUGACGAGUGGCGAACGGGUGAGUAAUACAUCGGAACGUGCCUAGUAGUGGGGGAUAACUACUCGAAAGAGUGGCUAAUACCGCAUGAGAUCUACGGAUGAAAGCAGGGGAUCGCAAGACCUUGUGCUAUUAGAGCGGCCGAUGGCAGAUUAGGUAGUUGGUGGGAUAAAAGCUUACCAAGCCGACGACCUGUAGCUGGUCUGAGAGGACGAUCAGCCACACUGGGACUGAGACACGGCCCAGACUCCUACGGGAGGCAGCAGUGGGGAAUUUUGGACAAUGGGCGCAAGCCUGAUCCAGCAAUGCCGCGUGCAGGAUGAAGGCCUUCGGGUUGUAAACUGCUUUUGUACGGAACGAAAAGCCCUGGGUUAAUACCCUGGGGUCAUGACGGUACCGUAAGAAUAAGCACCGGCUAACUACGUGCCAGCCGCCGCGGUAAGAC